AGAGUUGAUCAUGGCUCGAGGACGAACGCUGGCGGCGUGCCUAACACAUGCAAGUCGAGCGAGGAGAUCCUUCGGGAUGAUCCUAGCGGCGGACGGGUGAGUAACACGUGGGCAACCUGCCUCAUAGAGAGGAAUAGCCUUCCGAAAGGGAGAUUAAUACCUCAUAACAUUGCAGUUUCGCAUGGAACAGCAAUUAAAGGAGUAAUCCGCUAUGAGAUGGGCCCGCGGCGCAUUAGCUAGUUGGUGAGGUAACGGCUCACCAAGGCGACGAUGCGUAGCCGACCUGAGAGGGUGAUCGGCCACAUUGGGACUGAGACACGGCCCAGACUCCUACGGGAGGCAGCAGUGGGGAAUAUUGCACAAUGGGGGAAACCCUGAUGCCAGCAACGCCGCGUGAGUGAUGACGGCCUUCGGGUUGUAAAGCUCUGUCUUCAGGGACGAUAAUGACGGUACCUGAGGAGGAAGCCACGGCUAACUACGUGCCAGCCGCCGC
rnacentral:rRNA from 1 species